rnacentral:rRNA from 1 species
CCCUUAGAUGUCCGGGGCCGCACGCGCGCUACACUGAAGGAAUCAGCGUGGCUUUCUCCCUGACCCGAAAGGGUUGGGAAACCCGUUGAAUCUCCUUCGUGAUAGGGAUUGGGGCUUGAAAUUGUUCCCCAUGAACGAGGAAUUCCCAGUAAGCGCGAGUCAUAAGCUCGCGUUGAUUACGUCCCUGCCCUUUGUACACACCGCCCGUCGCUACUACCGAUUGAAUGGUUUAGUGAGGGCCUCGGAUUGGUCUCGGCCCGCUCUUUACCGGGCGGCGCCGUUGGUCGAGAAGACGCUCGAACUUGAUCGUUUAGAGGAAGUAAAAGUCGUAACA